UUACGGGGAUUCUGCUUUGAUAUGGAACACAUCCCAGGACGUGCUGAGAGACGCGCUCUCCCGUAGCUGUUAGGAACAUUUGUCUACAGACUUGCCAAGCAUGUUAAAGAUAAGGAGUGAUCUGACAUGACUUUUAGAACUGAGGGAAAACGGCAAAGGAAUGGCACAAUCUGGUUUUUUGCUGUGAGCUGGGGUGAGAGGUCAUGAGGAAUAAGAGAAGGGAGCAGAAGUGUGGAGAUUUUGAUUCCCAUCUCAAGUAGAUGAUCGUGUGUUUUCUAACCCCAAAGGUUUCUGUGCCUGCCUGUCUGGAGGGACAGCCAAUCAGAGGGAAAAUCCUAUGGGCACUCAGGCUCCACCCCUCCGGGCUUCUCGUCUGUGAGCUGGCCUACUUGUCCACCAUCCCCUGCCCUUUCCUUGGCCCCGG
rnacentral:lncRNA from 1 species